CGCGCGCGCGCGCGUGUGUGUGCUGAAGACUAUAAGGAGUACAUACCUCUUCUUUAUGAAGUUCUCGCAGGUCAGCAACAUGAGGCAAAAAGGGCAGGACCUCGUUAAGAAUGUCGUUCUAGUGGGCACAAGGUCGAACAUGAAGCUACCAGUGAGUAUUGUUUAAUCCUAUCCAUUAUUUUAUAAAGCACCAAGAUGUAGUAUAACAUCUAAUGGUUGCAUUGCUGCCAUAUGUCAUAUCUAAGAUUUACAAAGAAAAACUAAAUGAACAUCCUUUUUUAGUCCUUGAUUAGCUAAAUUAUCAUCAAGUGGACCAGAUUAUCUUUUGGAGCCACUUUAAAAUAUAAAAUAUAUGUUUCAUGGGGCUGUAGGAUAUAUUGUAUAGAUAUGCUAAAAGAUGAAACUUGAAAGAGUUAAGCGGAUAACAACUCAUAUGGUGAAAAAUGUUGGUCAUCAUCUCCUUCUCUUUCCAAUAUUAUUCCCGUUACUUGUGUACAUGACUUUGCAGGGAACACCGAGUUAUCCUCUGUUAGCUUGGAGGAUGGUGCUAUGGGCGACCACGUCGGCAAUGGCAACAGGGAAGGCAACAAUGAUGGUGAGAACAUGGUGGUAGCCUAAGGUGACUUAGAAACUUAUGAAGGUGUAGAUGAUGCUCCAGAUCAUGAACCAGUGGGCUUAGAAACAUGAGUCUUAUUGUUUUGGGUGGCGGUGGCAUGUAUGCGUACAACUGACAUGUUACUGCUGUUGAGCAAAUAAAACAACAGCAAUUAAAAUUUUCAGAUGUCA